UACUGCGCCUGAUUCAGGAUCUCGGGGAAGGACCCCUCGGCACAAUCCGACAGAGGGUAAUCAAUAACUGCCGGUAAUCUGUGGCAAUGUCCGGUCCAGCCACGCACACCCGUAAACAUUAAACGCGCUUAACAAACGCUCCGCUUUGUAAAUCAACGCUAUCGCGAUAAACACACGUGCGUCGAAUAAAUAAAUUCGUCUUGCUUCUGGAAAUUAUAUGUGUGCGACGUGAAAGACAUCACGUCGCGUAGUUGACGUAUAAUUGUCAAACAAUUGUGAAUAAUCGUUAAAAAUCCGCGCGAUCCACGCGAUGCGACUAUGUGAAUCACAUUGGAAAUUACUUCAUCAGAACUUUAUUAAUAGUGAU